GGGGGCCGCGCUCGCUUCCGGGUCCGGGUCCGGUGUCGGGUUCUGAGGUCGCUCCUUCACGCCUACUUGUGUUGCUGGUCACGGCCCCUAGUAGCCGCAGUGGGCUGCUCUGGGCUACAGAGCGUUGAGGUGGGUGGGACUAGGUGCCGGAGUGAGCCAGGGGCGUUUUCAGGGAGGCAAAGGGGGAGACGGCUUCUAAGGGUACAAUGAGGAAACAGCUCGCCAAGCACCUGGAAGCCCCUUUCCGAGUUCCCUCCAGCGCACAGGCUGUGGGAGGACAGUCUGCAUUGGCCCGAGGCUCGGUGACCUCAACGUGCGUCUCCACAACCUAUGUGGACCCAGUGGCUGGAAUUCUAGCAGUCAUUAAAAACAUGAGGAUGCAGAUCUCUCCAUGAAGACCAAAGGAUCCAAGGUUCCUGAUGACAUCAUAGAACUGCCAUACUGGCCUUGGGGUACUGCCUCUUUGAAGUCACUGUUUGGUGGUGUUUCUCUGAUGAGGUGUUCAUAGGAAAACACAGUUCCUAAGCAGGACACAAACACUGACCUUGAGGAGCUCAGAGUGUGGAGAGAAGAAAUAUGCAAAGAUAAAGUGAGCUUCUUUCACUGGACAUGUCCUCAAGGUUCACCCAUGCUGUAUCAUGCGUCAAAAUUUCCUUCCCUUUAAGGGUGAGUAAUGCCCAUUGUAUGUCUGUGCCACAUUUUGCCCAUCCAUUCAUUUGUGGAUGGGCCCUGGGGUGUCUUCUGUCUCUUGGCUGUAAUAAGUAAUGUUGUCAGGAACAUGGCUGUACAACCUUGGCUGAUUUCCUAAUGUUAAACCAGCUUUGCAUUCCUGGGAUAAACCAGAAAUAUUAUUAUUAUAUCUUAUACACUAUUAAAUUUGAUUUUAUGCAUUUUUUAAUUCAGUUGGCUAACAUUUUGCUUAGAGUGUUUGCAUCUGUGGUCAUGAGGGACUGUAGUUUUCUUUUCUUAUGAUGUCUUUAUCCAGUUUGGGACUUAGGUAAUGCUGCCCUCUUAGAAGAAAUCAACAAAUUCUGUUUCUGUUUUGUAAUAGAUUAUGGGGAACUGGCAUUAUUUCUUUCUUCAGUGUUUGGUAGAAUUCAUGAAUGAAGUUGUUUGGGUUUGAACUUUUAUUUAUGGGGAAGUUUGAAUUACAAAUUUAAUUUCAAUUUAAAAAUGUAAGUUGUUUAUAUUUGGGUUAUUGAUUUGAUUUUGCACAGACUCUGGUCACUUCUAUCUUAAAGAAUUUGUACAUUUCAUAUGAUGUUCUUUUAUCAUUUUAAUAUUGGUGGGAUUUGUGUUGGUAUCCUCUCUCUCAUUCCUGGUAGUGGUAAUUUAUUUCUGCUCUAUUUUUCUGAUCAGUCUGACUUGAACUUUAUCAAGUUAAUUGAUCAUCUCAAAGAACCAACUUUUAUUAAUUUUUAUAUAUUGUUUCUGUUUUCUAUUUCAUUGAUUUUUUAAAAAAGAUUUAUUUUAGGAGCCAGCACUGUGGCUUAGCAGGUAAAGCCGCCACCUGCAGUGCUGGCAUCCCAUAUGGGCUCUGGUUUGAGUCCUGGCUGCUCCACUUCCGAUUCAGUUCUCUGCUGUGGCCCGGGAAAGCAGUAGAGGAUAGCCCAAGUUCUUGGGCCCUUGCACUGUGUGGGAAGACCCAGAGGCAGCUCCUGGCUCCUGGCUUCAGAUAUGUACAGCUCUGGCUGUUGCAGCUAACUAGGCAGUGAACCGGUGGAUGGAUGACCUCUCUCUCUGCCUCUCCUUCUCUCUGUGUGUAAC